rnacentral:rRNA from 1 species
UACAGAGGGUGCAAGCGUUGUUCGGAAUUACUGGGCGUAAAGAGUGUGUAGGCGGUGUCCUAAGUCUGUUGUGAAAUCUCCCGGCUUAACCGGAUGGGUGGUGGCGGCGAAACUGGAGUGCUUGAGGGUGGGAGAGGUAAGCGGAAUUCCUGGUGUAGCGGUGAAAUGCGUAGAUAUCAGGAGGAACACCUGUGGUGUAGACAGCUUACUGGACCACUUCUGACGCUGAGACACGAAAGCGUGGGUAGCAAACAGG